AAACAUGUCUUUUUGAUUUUAUAUAAGGUUUGACCUGCUCAAUGAAUUUUAAAUAGCCGCAGUAUCUUGACUGUGCUAAGGUAGCAUAAUAAUUAGUCUUUUAAUUUGAGUCUGGAAUGAAUGGUUUGACGAGAAAAAUUCUUUAUUGGAAAGAUUUUUUUGAAUUUAGUUUUUUGGUUAAAAUUCCAAGUUAUUUAAGUGGGACAAUAAGACCCUAUAGAUCUUUAUAAUUUUUUUUGUUUUUGAUUUUUAGUCGUUUUUUUUGAAAUUAGGAAAUUUAUUUUGUUGGGGUGAUAGCUAAAAUUUUAAACUUUAGUUUUUUUUUACAUUAAUUUUUGUGUUGUUUGAUCUUUAUUUUUUGAUUAAAAGAUUUAGAUACCUUAGGGAUAACAGCGUUAUAUAUUUGGAGAGUUCUUAUUGAUAAAUAUGUUUGCGACCUCGAUGUUGGAUUAAAAUUAAUCUGUGGGGUAGGUUUUACAGUAUUAGGUCUGUUCGACCUUUAAAAUU
rnacentral:rRNA from 1 species